rnacentral:tRNA from 1 species
GCCAUUAGCUCAGCUGGUUAGAGCGCACGCCUGAUAAGCGUGAGGUCGGUGGUUCGAGUCCUACCUGUGGAGCCA